AUGACACUCUGCCAAAACUGAGGCUUGAUGAUGCAAAUCGAGUAAAAAUCCAUCACCAUUCUCUCGGACAUUUGUACCUUUGUAGUCUAGGAUGGGAUGAUUUCGAUGCUGAAGUGCUAUGUUAAUCUUUUAACAUAACCUGGAUUGGAAAAGCUACUUUUGUUGACAACAUGCUAGAUUUACAGACUGUUCCUUAUUUACUGCAAUGUGGCGGACUUGAAACUAGUUUGUUCGAUUGUAAUUAUACGACGGAUGUAAAAGGUUGUAAUAUCAAAAAAGUAGCUGGUGCCAUAUGUUGUGAAGGUAUGCAAACUUCUUUGUUUUUAACCUAUGUUAAUUAUCAUGAACCGUUAUAUGAGACAAAGGUUUACGGAGAGUAUACUAUCUCUGCAAUAAGUUAAAAUAAAACUUUUUAAGUUUAACAAGUGGUAUUACAGCUUCAUUUUAUUUUAUUUUUUUUCAAAAAGAAACUCAAUUUCAUAUAUUUUAAAUGAAAGUUAAAUUUCUUUCUUAAACAUGUUAAAUUAACAUGAUUUAGGCGUAGGUAUAUUACCUAGUAUAUUCAAAUCUGUCACUUUUAAAUUUAUUAAAAAGAGACAAAUUUUGACAGUCAAAUAAUAAAAUCUGAGCAAAAACGUAGAAUUUAUAAACAUUGCAUUUCAUAACUUGAUGUAAACUCAAUUAAGUGUGCUUAAAAUUAUCGAUUUUUGAUUGGUCUAGACGAGAGGGUAACAUUUAAAAAUGUCAUCCUCUCAGCCAUUUGAUAAAGUAAAUUAACACCCUCGUAUUAGCCAAUCAAAAUAUGGUAUUUUAUCUUUUAGUAUAAUAAAAAAAAAAAUGUUCCAUGUUACAUCGAUAUGAUUGUAAAGUAUACAUUGAUAAUAAGAUAGUAACAUGACAUAAUAGUAUAGUGAGGUAACAAAAUGGUAUAAAAGGUUGGUCAAUUUUCUAUUAAGAUGUUUUUAUAGUAUAAAAUGUAUCUUUAUGAUAUAGCAAUAUCACAUAAUAGUAAAGUAAAAUGACAAAUCAGUAUGAAAAAGAAGCAUAGUGUUAAAAUAAAUCUUCAAAAAAAAAAUGACAUAAUAGUAUGAAAUGGUAACUCCAUUUUAUAUCAAAACAUCUUUAUAGUAUAUACAUACAUGUAUCUUAAGGAUAUAGUAAAUUGAAAGAGUAGUAGUGUCAAAUGUCGUAAUACAAAAUGUAAUAGUAUAGACAAUUUGCUUCAUGUUAUAUCUCAACCUGUUAUUGAUAUGAUUAUUGUUAUCAUAGGGCAGUCUUCUGAAAUAUCAGUCAACCAUAUUCAACAAAUAUGUUUGCGAUCGAAAAGUCAUAAAGAUAGAAGAUAACCACCGGAUAUCCGAAAUUUGGAAAAGAUCUUUAUUUUGUACCUUUUUCUGUGUUACUACCACGUUUAAUAACUAACGUAGCAUCAAUGUAUGAUAUAAGACAUUUUUUGCUUAAAUACAUCAUAUUUUGAUGUUAUCACUCUUGACGUGCAUGUUACAUUUGCUGUAAGAUGUGUAGCAGACAUAUAAUCAAUCGUAUUUUUAUUACUCAUUAUUUUAGUUUCAUUUCGCAUGCAAGGGAAACACAGAUAUGUUACUGUGUGCUUUAUUUUCUUCUCUAGGUACAGCCAAACCAGAGGAAUGUGUCACGAAUUCCUCUUCUAAUAAAGCUUCCGCCGCAUCCUCAACUUUAGG
rnacentral:lncRNA from 1 species